rnacentral:rRNA from 1 species
CGGACGGGUGAGUAACGCGUGGGUAACCUGCCUCAUACAGGGGGGUAACAGUUAGAAAUGACUGCUAAUACCGCAUAAGCGCACAGUGCUGCAUGGCACAGUGUGAAAAACUCCGGUGGUAUGAGAUGGACCCGCGUCUGAUUAGCUAGUUGGUGGGGUAACGGCCUACCAAGGCGACGAUCAGUAGCCGGCCUGAGGGGGUGAACGGCCACAUUGGGACUGAGACACGGCCCAAACUCCUACGGGAGGCAGCAUG